GAUGAACGCUAGCGGCAGGCCUAAUACAUGCAAGUCGAACGGCCCCGACACUUCGGUGUCGGGGUAGUGGCGCACGGGUGCGUAACGCGUACACAACAUACCCUUUACAGGGGGAUAGCGGCGGGAAACUGCCAGUAAUACCCCAUGUCCUUGCGAGGUGGCAUCAUUUUGCAAAGAAAGUUCAAGCGGUAAAGGAUUGGUGUGCGUCCGAUUAGCUAGUUGGCGGGGUAACGGCCCACCAAGGCGACGAUCGGUAGGGGGGUGUGAGAGCAUGGCCCCCCCACACGGGUACGUGAGACACGGACCCGGA
rnacentral:rRNA from 1 species